rnacentral:ncRNA from 2 species
AGGGAAGGCGGUGAAACUCCGCCACUGCCCGCGCAACUGUGAGCGGCGACAAUGCCCCGCAAUCGAAAAGCCACUGGAAGAGAAUGGCGGAAAGGUCAAAAGGUAAAAGUAAAAAGGCAAAAGGGAUAAGGCGAAAAGUAUUCUUAUUUAAAAAUGGUUUCCGCCUUCCUUUUGCCUUUUACCUUUUUACUUUUGACUUUCCCCCUUCCGGGAAGGCGCGAGGUGUUGGCGAUUCAUUUGGUUGAAUCAUAGCCGCGAGUCAGGAGACCU